UUUUUUGUUUGUAUUUGUUUUUAUUAUUAUUUAAACACUUUAAAUAAAGUACGUGUGGACUUUGUGGUCUCUUUGUCAGGCCAGCCUCCUCUGUUUCUCCAGCCCUUUCUUAAUGGCUUUCUGUAUAUAGUCUGUAUUAGAUACACCUCUUUCUCAGGGACCAGCAUUCCAAAGCUGGGUGCUGUGCUCCAGCUGAGACCUGCCUUCUGUUUUGUCUUUGGUGCCCAUAAAGUGCAGUGCUGCUGUCACAAUAAACACUGUUGACUCAUGUUCCCCUUGUCAUUCCUCCACAACCAGUAGAUCAUUUUCUGUGGAGUUAUUUAGCUCGUUCUUUCCGUCCAGUAUUUCUGUGAUUGAGGUGGCCGCAAUAAUAAGUAACUGCAGCUUUUUCCCCUCAAUGAGGGUCUUGGUCUGGAUGGUCAAUAUGUCAAUGAAACUCUUCCUGGAGGGAAGCGAGAUCCACACGAGGAAGUUGUGUGGCCUUGGGGCGGAAACAGAACUGGAAAAGAUGCUGAGGCUCUUCAAUAUCCCCUGGUGGGUAUAAGCCAGCUAAUGUUUUCAUGGUGGUUUGGCUGUGUCCUUGCAGUCACAGAUCAGACAGCACUGCUCCCCGGAUAUUUAUCCCUUUAUGCAUAUAAAGGAAGGAAUUUUACCCCUUUUCAGCCUUCAGUCUCAUGAAGUGCCGAUGUACCUGAAGAGAUCUGUGCCAAAGAGAGUCUUGGCUGUUCUUCUCCGGACUUGUGCUUUGCUAACAAGAACAACUGCAUUUUUCCUGACUUUUCAGAUCUGUUUCAUCCUGGUGUCACAGCACAAGGGAUCCAGUUUUCACUGCUGGGUCUUGAACCUUGGAGCAACAUAAAGAAGUGUGAGUGUAAUAGAUGGUGCUUUGAGGAUCGAGUUGAUGGGCUGAGUGGGUGAAAUCUAUCCUCCCCAUCCCCACAACCUGAGUGCUGCAAUUGGGUGAGGAGCAAACUGUGCCAAAACUGGACCCAACAGAAUCUUACAAGGGGUUUCAGACCGAAAAACAUGCUGGAGGGAACAGAAAAGGUCUGGGUAGAAAAAGAGAGGGUGGAUUUCAUGUUAAUCUCUAUCUGUACUGAGUGUAGCACUACAGUUCUUGGAAAAUGACGUGUUAUUUUCUUUUAAAUAUGAAAAAAGCAAAAUCUAGGACUAAGUGGUAGAUAUUAAAUAUUGAAUAUACCGAGAAAAAGGAUUUGUCAUCUGCUAAGCAUGAAAAGGCUUCACUUCAAAAAGAACCAGCCUGGCUAGGCCCUAUGUGUUUGUUUUUCUUGAUAUGGAUCAUGUAUUCCCAUUCCUGUUAAAGCAACAUUUACAUUUGGGUAAAUGGAAGAGCUUUUGCUUUACAGAAACGUUCUUACAAAAGCAGUGAUUUAAUCAGAUGCACUUCACAGAAUACUCCCAGUUCAGCCUCUUGUGUGCUGGGGUUCAGCGUUGUGCAAACAGGAUCAGGAACUCUUUGCUUACCAAGCAGCGAAUCAGCUGCUUAGUCAGAUAGGCAAAACACCCUGUUGAGCACACACACAGUACUACUAGAGACAUAAAGUCCUGAUAAUUUAGCUUUCUUCUGUAGUGACAUUGGUUGUGGGGUCAGGCAUUUUGGGUAGUAGCUGUACAAAGUGCCUCAGUGUUCUGUGUGUCUUCUGAAUGGAGCUCAAAGCAUGGAUUUCAAGCUGGAAUGUGUGCUUGGAGAUGGGCUCGGAAGUGUUCCGAGGCUCAUGUGCUGCAUUAUUCCUUUUGAAAGUUCCCAGAGCUUGAGACACGUUGUGUAUAUUUAAAAGCCCCAUGAGGGAAGGAAUAAAAUACAUUCUUCUUCUUUCCUCCAUACUUCAUGAAUAGCUUCUUUCUUGAAAACACAAAAUGAUAUAACUUGGUUUAUUUUCUUAGGUCUACUUCUACUGUUUUUACAGUAAUCUUAAAAAUGUACUCUUUCUGUCAUUGUUCCUUAAAUAUUUGCUUUCCUACCUCAGCCUCAGGAGUGGAAAAGCCAUAGGAAAUGGGUGUUUGUGGUUUAAUAACGUUUUAACUUCUUCUGGUAGCCGAAAGUUCUAGAAGUCACUGCAGCAGGGGCAAAACAAGUCGAGUUGCAUUUCCAGAUCUUGUUUCUUUGUGUGGAAAUUCUGUGGCCACCCUCUGGUUUUUCCCAAAGCAGUUUCCCAGGUCAGUCACACACAACUCUAAUCUGUGUGAAAACAAAAGAAAUAAGUCACUUCUGGGGUGUCUUACUACAGGCAUCAGAAAACAGGGAUGCCAGCUAUCAUAAAUGAGAGUGUGGGAUUGUAAGGCAAGGUGAGCGUUCAUCUGAGAGAACAGGUAGGUCUGCAGGAUCAGAAUAUGAAUAUAUAGACACAAAUCUCUGCAUACCGCUUACUAAAAGUAAGUUCUAGUACCAGGAAAAGUGCUAGUCCAAGGACAGUACAAUGAUAUAAAUGUCACCUUUGGUUUUUAUUCUGCAAGGUGAAAUGGAGGGGUUCUGCUGUAUUAUUUCCUAGCUUGGGGUGAGUACUGAAGGUGGCUUUUUGCUCCUUUAAAAUGAAGACAGUGGCUUUCCAGCUUCUGAUUUUCAGACACCAGCAAAAUAUCUUCCCCUUAAUUUAAUCUUCCAGCUUUCCUUCUGUAAAUACAACACGUCUUUACUCAGUGUCUCUGAAUGUGAAGGAAACACAGGUGGGACUUGGAGCUAGGGCUGGGAAAGGAAUUUCAGCAAAGGGGGGUAUUGCUUGAGUAUGGUUUUAAUUUUUUUUCUAGAAAGGGCUGCUUCUAUCACAGAUUCACUUUCUCAUCAUGGAUUGUCCUCUCCCAAAACACCUAAACUCCACCCCAAAAUGUCCACAGUAAAGGAGGGCAGGAGUGUAGAGGUACCUACAGAGAGCAUGGUUUGCUUUUGGUUUAAAGGGGUACCCUUUAGAUUCCUGCCAGAAGGUCUGAAUCCUGUACAUGAAGCUCAUCAAGGGGUUUAAUUAAAAAGUGUAGGCACUCCCCUUAAGUCUGGAUCAGAUGCCCACAUAUAUGGUUCCCUCUGUCAAAACCCAUCUCCUUUACUUGGUUCUGGCCACUUCUUCCUGUGGCCUAAUCCUGUUUGGACAGAGCCCUCCUAGAACUGACUGAGGGUGUGAACCAUCCGAUUUACAGCACAGUUGAUCCCACCUGAAGAAACCUGUUGGGUUUAGUUUAAAGUGUUGAAAUUGGGGAAGAAACACUCUUGAGAUCCCUGGUGCUGUUGUCCUCUUUGAUCUCUGUGGCAAUCCUUCGUUGAGGCAAGUCACAUCUUUAAUGUCUUAAGGUUUUGAUUCAGGCAAGUCCACCUCACGGCAGGGAUUAGCUGGAUCUGUCCUGUCCUUUUGUAACUCCCCAUUUCUUUGGUUGGCAAUGCUUUGAUCACUUCCAAUCUCAGAUCCCUGCAGGAUGCCAUUGUUUUCCAAGGGGUACUUCCUCUUGACAAGUCAGUUCUCAGUGAGUUGUAGUUUACUGUCUGCUUAAUUCCUUUCAGUGGGGUAAUCCUAAAGUCAAACAUUCUCUGUUACUAGCCUGUGUCAGUACACACAACGCUGUGGAGGAUUUCCAUCCUGCACAGAGAGCAGAAGACAAGGGGAUGAGGAAAAUCCCAACUUUGCAUUUUGACAGGUACCAUCACUUCAGCAGGAGACCAGUAACCAUUUGAGGAUUUCCAGAUCAUUUCAAGGCCAGGAUUGGGAUGAGCUCUGCCAAAGGCAAGUGGAACAGAGGGAGCAGGGUCCAUAUCCUUGGUACCAGCGUGACCAAAACUGGACCAUGUCAUCUUCAGGUGCAGUAGGCUCGUGCGUGAAGGUCAGUGAGCACAACAACGUACUGAGGAGUCUUCAGAAACAGGCUUUGAAUGAACCAGGCUACCCCAUUCGGAACAUCCAACAGUUUAUUCCUUUGUGAUCUAUUAUUUCUAUGGAUGAUUCUCAAAAAGCUGCUGUUCCUGCAUAUAACAGGAUGGGGAGAAGUGGUUGGUAAUGUCAUUUUUUAAACACAUAUUUUCCCUGAUGCCUAAAAACCAGGAUGGGAAAGGAAUCCUCUUUAUCUGUUCAGAACUAUGGCUUAGAUCUCUUUAUCUGGUGGGAGACUGUGGCUAACCCAGAGCUGGGGGGCUGGCGGCUUUGGAAGCCUUUGCUUGAAAAGACAUGGAUUUAAAGUCUCAGCCAACAUGGCUUCUCCCCAGGUAUUUGAGUUAAUGAACAGAAAUAGAAACCAGAUAAUUUUAAGCCACCUGUAGUAAAGCAAUUUCCUUUGCAGAGCAGAUUUUGCUGCCGUCUUUCUCUGAUUCUGACUACGUACCCCACGGGACAGAAAACCUCAGCAUCCAGGGUCCAGUUCAGGUGCUGUGUUUGGAACCGCUGUGCUGCGCAUGGGAGCUGCUCUUCGGCCACAGCUACUCUGGAGCAUUUCCUUCCCCAUGGGCUCAGUGCUGACUUCCAGGCGGUGCUGCCAGUGCCCGCUGUUUCCCAUUCCCAGGCUCCCAGCACAGGACCACCCUGGCAGGAGGGGUAAGGGCUGUGCCUCGGGUGCUGCAGAUGGGUAGCGGGGCUGGUCUCUUGGCUCCUGUUUUGAAAUGCAGGCAUCAAAGUGAAAGCAGUGUUGUAGUAAACUUGUUUGGAAACUCUCAAAGAGAACUUUCCUUUUCCCACGUGUUUUCCAUUUUGUUGGUUUUGCAAUCUCAACUUCUCAGCCCAAUUCAGAGAUCUUUUUCUUUUCCAAAUGUAGUGAGUUUCCAAAACCAAACAAAAAGUGGAGCGUUUUCCUGGAGCAGAAAUCCCGUUUUCACGCAUGCGUUUCCGCUGAUUUCUGUGGGACUUCUUGCAUCUCUAAACAGCUACAGAGCAUUAGUGAAACACAACCAUUAAUCCUGUAGUAGGUUAAAAGUGUCCUGUCAACCCAUGGAUAAUAAAUCCUGGAUAUAGUGAAAUUUUUCAUAACUUUUUGGUAAAAGAGGCUGCAUUUCCCCAGUGAUUUACAGGGGCUGUGAUUCUUAAAGGGCCUAAAAUAACUUCCCACUUUACAAGUAUUUAAACUCCUUCCCUGCCCAAACAGGGAUGCUCUGCUGGCCGUGCUGCUGCCUAAUGAAAUAUUUACUAUCCCUGUGUAUCUGGUGGCUGAACCAGGAGUGGAAAGUGCUGAUGCACACAGCUCUGUGAGUACAGCCUUGACCUUGGCGUGCUGACCCUGCUCGCUCCGCUCACCCCGGCGCUGGGAGCCUUUCAUCCCUGCAGCUCCUCUGGCUUGCAUGGAUUUUGCUUUCCCCAAAACCUCUUUGACAGGUGAAAAUGACUUUCUUUGAAGAUCCCCAGAGAGGCAGAUUCCCCUUUGGUCUACAGUUUGCUGCGCCAGCACCUCUCUGUGUGUUGGUGUUUCUGUUUGCUCUCUGUGCCUUUUGCCUCUGCUGUGCUCUAAAUACUCAUCUAACGAGGUGAACGUCUUUAAUUACUAUUUUUCUGUGCGGAAUGGCUCAUGGUCCCCUGGUCUUUUGAUAAUAUCAGACUGAAAAGGGGAAAAAAAAUGCCUUUAAACAAUUUUCUGACUCCCUCUAGAGGAUUUCUUUCCAAGCCCAGAAAUAGCUCCACAGUGGGAGAAGCCGAGCAUUCCGUCACUGCGCCUGCCCAGCUGGGUUUCAGUGCAGAUUACAUCUUCCCCGGUUCCCACAGCUUGCUUUCUUCUGCCAGUCGCUGCUAAUGUCUCCCAGCUUUUAUUCCCACUGUUCUUGGAAUAUAAAUGCUCACAGCCUGUUUUCCCUUAGGCAGUGCCAGAUCUCUGCCAGAGGAUCCCGCUGCAGUCAUCACUGCCCGUGAGCACCCAUGAUGUGAUGUGCUCGCUCCUUUGGACCAAACUUCCUGAGACUAUCAAGUAGAAAACUGAAUUUUCACACCUUUUAAAUGCCUUCUCUCCCAAUGCGUAGUGAAAUCCUAAUGUCUCGUUUUAAUAAUGUCUGGGGUUGUUUUCCCCCCUUGUAUUUCUCUCCUAUUGCUUUCCCUGUGUCGUGCCACGGGUGAUGGAAAACGCCGUGGAAGCUGGGCAGAGUGGUGUGGCUGCUUUGCAGAGGUCACAGGAGGACUGGAGACCUCUUUACUACAGCAUCCUCUACAGAAUGCUGACGGUGUCUGUGCUCUGUAAGGAAAAAUGCUCCAGGGCGCUCUGUGUGACGGCUGUUCCUCUGACAUGUGGAAACGACAGGGGAUUUAUUCCUCCUGUUUGAGAUGUGUUAUCUUACGGCACCAUUCAGUACCAUUAUCUUAUUUAACCGUUUCAGACGUGUUCUCUUAUUUAACUGGGGAAAUAUUGCUAGCAAUAGUGGGAACGAGCAAUCCUGGGCUCUUCUUACUGCUGCUUGUUACACAAUUUUUCAGGCUCUUCCUUGGCAAGCAGCUGUGGAUGAGGCUAAUAGCUGGAUUAUUGCUGCACUAAAUCAUUCUCAAUUUGAUACAGGUUGCAGCCACCUCUAAUUCACCCUCUUAUUUCCUAAAGGAAAUGUUAACCAGAACGAUCACUUUAAUAGCAGUAGCUAAUGGUGGGCAAUAGCGUUUGAUUCUUUUAACAUACUCAGAGUCACCAGAGAAGUAAAUCAUAGUGUAAUCGACUAAUGCUGCUAUCGGUCCCCUGGCCACGAGGUCAGGGGCGGGUACAUGGAAGCACCUCUCUGCUUCCCUGCUCCCACAUUGAUCCUGUGCUCUGUGCUUCAACCAGUUUCUUUGGGGAGCCAGGUCCCCUGUUACAGCCUUAGCACACACUGCUGGGACAGAACCCCCCUGUACACCCUAAACACAGCACACCCGUGCUCAAGAGACUCUUCUCAUGGAAAGCUUGAAAGCAGUGAAUGGUGUUUUAUUAACAUGUGCCACUUCCCUACGGGUAGCAGGUUAAUUCAACCCCUGCAAAAGCAGUGACGGGUACCUCAGGGUUUGGAAGGUCCAUUGGUGCUUUGCUGGGGAACGGUCUGUAUCGGCGAUGGUGCAGUGGAAGCUGUUACUUAUUGCUGGUCGCGAAUCUUGGCUGUCACCGCUUCUCUGGCCUAAUCACAGCAAAUUAUGGUGUCAGUAAUGUCCUAGUUGGAGUCUGCAGCCUC